UGCCAGCAGCCGCGGUAAUACAGAGAGUGCAAGCGUUAAUCGGAAUAACUGGGCGUAAAGCGCACGUAGGUGGAUAUUUUAGUCGGAUGUGAAAGCCCUAGGCUUAACCUAGGAACUGCAUCCGAUACUGGGUAUCUAGAGUAUAGUAGAGGGAAGUGGAAUUUCCGGUGUAGCGGUGAAAUGCGUAGAUAUCGGAAGGAACACCAGUGGCGAAGGCGGCUUCCUGGACUAAUACUGACACUGAGGUGCGAAAGCGUGGGGAGCAAACAGGAUUAGAUA
rnacentral:rRNA from 1 species